rnacentral:rRNA from 1 species
CCUACGGGGCGCUGCAGUGGGGAAUAUUGGACAAUGGGGGGAACCCUGAUCCAGCCAUGCCGCGUGUGUGAAGAAGGCCCUCGGGUUGUAAAGCACUUUCAGUGAGGAAGAACGCCUGGUGGUUAAUACCCAUCAGGAAAGACAUCACUCACAGAAGAAGCACCGGCUAACUCCGUGCCAGCAGCCGCGGUAAUACGGAGGGUGCGAGCGUUAAUCGGAAUUACUGGGCGUAAAGCGCGCGUAGGUGGCUUGAUAAGCCGGUUGUGAAAGCCCCGGGCUCAACCUGGGAACGGCAUCCGGAACUGUCAAGCUAGAGUGCAGGAGAGGAAGGUAGAAUUCCCGGUGUAGCGGUGAAAUGCGUAGAGAUCGGGAGGAAUACCAGUGGCGAAGGCGGCCUUCUGGACUGACACUGACACUGAGGUGCGAAAGCGUGGGUAGCAAACAGGAUUAGAUACCCCGGUAGUC